GUCCCUGUAGCUCAACGGAUAGAGCAGAGGUUUCCUAAACCUCCGAUAUAGGUUCGAUUCCUAUCGGGGACGCAA
rnacentral:tRNA from 1 species